rnacentral:rRNA from 1 species
GACGAACGCUGGCGGCGUGCUUAACACAUGCAAGUCGAACGGAAAGGCCCUGCUUUUGUGGGGUGCUCGAGUGGCGAACGGGUGAGUAACACGUGAGUAACCUGCCCUUGACUUUGGGAUAACUUCAGGAAACUGGGGCUAAUACCGGAUAGGAGCUCCUGCUGCAUGGUGGGGGUUGGAAAGUUUCGGCGGUUGGGGAUGGACUCGCGGCUUAUCGGCUUGUUGGUGGGGUAGUGGCUUACCAAGGCUUUGACGGGUAGCCGGCCUGAGGGGUGACCGGCCACAUUGGGACUGAGAUACGGCCCAGACUCCUACGGGAGGCAGCAGUGGGGAAUAUUGCACAAUGGGCGGAAGCCUGAUGCAGCAACACCGCGUGCGGGAUGACGGCCUUCGGGUUGUAAACCGCUUUCGCCUGUGACGAAGCGUGAGUGACGGUAAUGGGUAAAGAAGCACCGGCUAACUACGUG